AUGAAUGAUUGGUGGGCAGUAUAGUAUGAGCAGCUCUCUGUAAAAGGCUUUUAAGAGGGGCUUCUGCACCCUCUGCCAACUCCAUAUAUGCUUUCCCCAAGCAAUGUCUUUACCUCUUUCUUUCUCUCUUGCAAUCAAUGUCUCUCUCUCACACACCUACUCUCUUUCUCUCUCUCUCCCACACAAAUAUAUGUAUAAUAUGUAUCUAUACAUCUGUGCUUUGGUACUUGCUUUUUCAACUGCUAAUGCAUUGCUGCAGUACUGCCUCCAGCAACUUCUGACCACUACCAAACAAUUUCACAGUGUGCAUGAAUGACAAGGAAUCAAUCUAAUUACGAUUGAUUGUGCUUAGCUUCGGAUGAUACUGGAUCUAUUCAAGUAAUACUACAAGACAGGGAGAGAAGUAUUAUCGGGAAAAUAUUUUAUAUUGGGCAACAAAUAUAUGUAACAGAUUCAAGCCGGAGGAAACAGAACCAGAGGUGCAGCAGACAACAACUGAAAACACACAGACAACAUCAUCCACCAUUUAUCUUGUAGCACUUUCAGAUUUUAACCCUGAAACAUCAACCAUCACCAAAAAUUGAAAAUUCAAAAACAUUUCUGGAAUAUGAAACUUUUGUAAUCGCUUUGUUACUCAGUUGUUAUCUUUUGUCA